GACGAACGCUGGCGGCGUGCCUAAUACAUGCAAGUAGAACGCACAGUUUAUACCUUAGCUUGCUACACCAUAGACUGUGAGUUGCGAACGGGUGAGUUACGCGUAGGUAACCUGCCUGGUAGCUGGGGAUAACUAUUGGAAACGCUAGCUAAUACCGCAUGAUAUUGAUUAUUGCAUGAUAAUUGAUUGAAAGAUGCUAUUGCAUCACUACCAGUUGGACCUGCGUUGUAUUAGCUAGUAGGUGAGGUAACGGCUCACCUAGGCGACGAUACAUAGCCGACAGGAGAGGGUGGUCGGCCACACUGGGACUGAGACACGGCACAGAGUCAUACGGGAAGCAGCAGUAGGGAAACGUCGGCAAUGGACGAAAGUCAGACCGAGAAACGCCGCGGGAGUGAAGAAGGAUGUCGGAUCGUAAAGCUCUGUUGUAAGAGAAGAACGGGUGUGAGAGUGGAAAGUUCACACUGUGACGGUAUCUUACCAGAAAGGGACGGCUAACUACGUG
rnacentral:rRNA from 1 species